rnacentral:rRNA from 1 species
GAUGAACGCUGGCGGCGUGCCUAAUACAUGCAAGUCGAGCGAACAGACGAGGAGCUUGCUCCUCUGACGUUAGCGGCGGACGGGUGAGUAACACGUGGAUAACCUACCUAUAAGACUGGGAUAACUUCGGGAAACCGGAGCUAAUACCGGAUAAUAUAUUGAACCGCAUGGUUCAAUAGUGGAAGACGGUUUUGCUGUCACUUAUAGAUGGAUCCGCGCCGCAUUAGCUAGUUGGUAAGGUAACGGCUUACCAAGGCAACGAUGCGUAGCCGACCUGAGAGGGUGAUCGGCCACACUGGAACUGAGACACGGUCCAGACUCCUACGGGAGGCAGCAGUAGGGAAUCUUCCGCAAUGGGCGAAAGCUUGACGGAGCAACGCCGCGUGAGUGAUGAAGGUCUUCGGAUCGUAAAACUCUGUUAUUAGGGAAGAACAAAUGUGUAAGUAACUAUGCACGUCUUGACGGUACCCAAUCAGAAAGCCACGGCUAACUACGUG